CCUACGGGACGCAGCAGUGAGGAAUAUUGGUAAAUGGUCGGGAGACUGAACCAGCCAAGCCGCGUGAGGGAUGAAGGUACAGAGUAUCGUAAACCUCUUUUGUCAGGGAACAAAGGCGGGGACGUGUCCCCGGAUGAGUGUACCUGAAGAAAAAGCAUCGGCUAACUCCGUGCCAGCAGCCGCGGUAAUACGGAGGAUGCGAGCGUUAUCCGGAUUUAUUGGGUUUAAAGGGUGCGCAGGCGGCACGGCAAGCCGGCGGUCAAAUCGCGGGGCUCAACCCCGCCCAGCCGUCGGAACUGCCGGGC
rnacentral:rRNA from 1 species